UGGUAAGUAGUUUAAACAAAAUAAAUGAUUUCGACUCAUUAGAUUAUGAUAACCAUACUAACCAA
rnacentral:tRNA from 3 species